GCCGAAGUGGCGGAAUUGGCAGACGCGUUGGAUUCAAAAUCCAAUGGUCCUAGUGGCCUUGUGGGUUCGAGUCCCACCUUCGGUA
rnacentral:tRNA from 1 species